UAGCGUGGGAGAAGUAGACCAACAAGCGCUAUAGGUCUGAUGAUCUGUUUCACUGCUGCUGAGCCGAGCCAGGACUAUUACAGCUGCAAGGGGGCUGAGGCUUGGGCUGGGUAUAAAUGCUUUCAAACUGAGCGAAGACCAGAACAGUGCAACGUUGAUGUGAGUAAUACCUUUCGUGAAGAAACGGAUGAUCUUGUGCGAUGAUCUAAACCCCUCUAAAACGGGGAGCAGAAGGGCGCAUCUUAAGUCAGUCACAGACGGACAUCCUCAUAUGACUCCAGUGGCUGUUUAUGGACUUUAGUGAGCUGCUGCGCCUGGGAAUCUGUGAAGGCUCUUCUCACAGAGCUGUUGAGACUGGCUGAAACGGCGCAGUCAUGCUGGCCCUGUUCUGCUUCAUGGACUAAGGACCUCCACAGAUGUUCCCAAAAUGUGUUGGAGAGGAAGGGAAGCAUGGUUGCUUCAACCUGUACAUAAUUUUAUUUGAGGAAUCAUCUGUUUCACACCCUGGGACUCAAAUAAAAAGAAAGGUGAUGACCUUGAUGGUGCCAUGUGAAUGACCUUAGACCAUGAAGCCCACACACAAGCUGCUGUUUGUCCUGUGUGCCUUGCUGGUGCUGGGCUUUAUUUACUACUCUUCUUGGAAGCUACAUCUAUACGUAUGGGGACAGAAGCCUCGUAAGUCGCUCCUUCAGUCUGACAUCGAACGUUAAUACUCACAAAUUCACCCAUCUUUCUUUGUAAUCUUUUUGUAAAACCUUGCAUCGUCUGUCUGUUUGAGUGUGAAUGUCGAUCACUUGUUCUGUUUCAUAAAAGCUCGGGGUGUCUGUUAAUGUCUCAAACACAGUGUAGGUUUUCUUUCAGCUGAUCAGAGCUGUGGAUGUUGCUGGGAGAGGAUUGUAAUCAGAUUUACCCAGAAGGCCUGUGUUAAAGCUACGUACAUGUUACUCACUUUCUGCACUGGCAGAUACUGACAUCCACUCCUUCUGAAAGAAGGUGGAGAUGAUAUUCACAGAUUUUCACUCUGGCAUAGUCACUGUUAUUAAUGUAACUGUCAUUAAACUGUAAAGAAA